GACGUCGCAUGCUCCCGGGCGCCAUGGCGGCCGCGGGAAUUCGAUUGUAUUACCGCGGCUGCUGGCACGGAGUUAGCCGGGGCUUUCUUGGUCAGGUACCGUCAUUAUCUUCCCUGCUGAAAAGGGCUUUACAACCCUAAGGCCUUCAUCACCCACUCGGUAUUGCUGGAUCAGGCUUUCGCCCAUUGUCCAAUAUUCCCCACUGCUGCCUCCCGUAGGAGUCUGGGCCGUGUCUCAGUCCCAGUGUGGCUGAUCAUUCUCUCAAACCAGCUACAGAUCAUUGGCUUGGUAGGCCAUUACCCUACCAACUACCUAAUCUGGCGCGGGCUCAUCCAUCAGCGAUAAAUCUUUCCUCCAAAGAGAAUAUACGGUAUUAGCAAUUAUUUCUAAAUGUUAUUCCGUACUGAUGGGCAGAUUCCCACGUGUUACUCACCCGUCUGCCACUAAUUUAUUAAAGCAAGCUCUAAAUAAAUCCGUUCGACUUGCAUGUGUUAAGCAUACCGAAAGCGUUCGUUCUGAGCCAUGAUCAAACUCUAAUCACUAGUGAAUUCGCGGCCGCCUGCAGGUCGACCAUAUGGGAGAGCUCCCAACGCGU
rnacentral:rRNA from 1 species